UGGUAAAGGAUUAAUGCGCUUGUCUAGUAAACAGGAGAUCCUGAGUUCGAAUCUCAG
rnacentral:tRNA from 1 species